GGAAGUUGCAAACAAGCUUCUUUUCUUUUUUUAGGGAUGCAUGCUACAUAAACUUUUAACAUUAGAUAUUUCACUUUUUCUUUUCUUUUUUUCCCCAAUUAAAGUCGACAAUGUCCCCUCUAUAGGGUUGAACCCAAAACCCUAUUGGAAGGAAAUGAAAUACCUCUCAGCUAAAAUUUCUUAAGGUCUACCUCCAAUGAAAAAGCAACUGUUUGAAUGCAAACUACCAAAUAUCACAUGUAAUAGUUGACAAAUUUCCAUCAAUGGCGGAUUGGCAAGCUUCAAUCAACAGAACCCCAUCUAUAAAUUACGUCAAAUAACAGAACUGAAAAUGCACUACAGAGCCAGCGAUUGGGUACAGAUUUAAAAGCUAGACUUUGGCUAGCAGAAAUGGAAGUUCGAUCUUUCUUCAUAUUAUACUGCGACAUCAAUAAAACAGAAACAACCAAGAGCACACAGACCCUUUUCAAAUCAAACCAUAACCCACAAUUCCAAACCUCGUGAUUGAGAUUUCUU
rnacentral:misc_RNA from 1 species